AUGGGAAAGACUAGAGAUCUCUUCAAGAAAAUUAGAGAUACCAAGGGAACAUUUCAUGCAAAGAUGGGCUCGAUAAAGGACAGAAAUGGUAUGGACCUAACAGAAGCAGAAGCUAUUAAGAAGUGUCAAGAAUACACAGAAAAACGGUACAAAAAAGAUCUUCACGAUCAAGAUAAUCAUGACGGUAUGAUCACUCAUCUAGAGCCAGACAUCCUGGAAUGUGAAGUCAAGUGGGCCUUAGGAAGCAUCACUACAAACAAAGCCAGUGGAGGUGAUGGAAUUUUGGUUGAACUAUUUCAAAUCCUGGAAGAUGAUGCUGUGAAAGUGCAGCACUCAAUAUGCCAGCAAAUUUGGAAAACUCAGCAGUGGCCACAGGACUGGAAAAGGUCCGUUUUCAUUCCAAUCCCAAAGAAAGGCAAUGUCAAAGAAUGCUCAAACUACCGCACAAUUGCACUCAUCUCACAUGCUAGCAAAGUAAUGCUCAAAAUUCUCCAAGCCAGGCUUCAGCAAUACCUGAACUGUGAACUUCCAGAUGUUCAAGCUGGUUUUAGAAAAGGCAGAGGAACCAGAGAUCAAAUUGCCAACAUCCACUGGAUCAUCAAAAAAGCAAGAGAGUUCCAGAAAAACAUGUAUUUGUGCUUUAUUGACUAUGCCAAAGCCUUUGACUAUGUGGAUCACAAUAAACUGUGGAAAAUUCUGAAAGAGAUGGGAAUACCAGACCACCUGACCUGCCUCUUGAGAAACCUGUAUGCAGGUCAGGAAGCAAUAGUUAGAACUGGACAUGGAACAACAGACUGGUUCCAAAUAGGAAAAGGAGUACAUCAAAGCUGCAUAUUGUCACCCUGCUUAUUUAACUUCUAUGCAGAGUCCAUCAUGAGAAAUGACGGGCUGGAAGAAGCACAAGCUGGAAUCAAGAUUGCUGGGAGAAAUAUCAAUAACCUUAGGUAUGCAGAUGACACCACCCUUAUGUCAGAAAGUGAAGAGGAACUCAAAAGCCUCUUGAUGAAAGUGAAAGAGGAGAGUGAAAAAGGUGGCUUAAAGCUCAGCAUUCAGAAAACAAAGAUCAUGGCAUGUGGUCUCAUCACUUCAUGGGAAAUCGAUGGGGAAACAGUGGAAACAGUGUCAGACUUUAUUUUGGGGGGCUCCAAAAUCACUGCAGAUGGUGAUUGCAGCCAAGAAAUUAAAAGACUCUUACUCCUUGGAAGGAAAGUUAUGACUAACCUAGAUAGUAUAUUGAAAAGCAGAGACAUUACUUUGCCAACAAAGGUCCGUCUAGUCAAGGCUAUGGUUUUUCCAGUGGUCAUGUAUGGAUGUGAGAGUUGGACUGUGAAGAAAGCUGAAUGCUGA
rnacentral:lncRNA from 1 species